GAUUGAACGCUGGCGGCAUGCUUUACACAUGCAAGUCGAACGGUAACAGGCCUUCGGGUGCUGACGAGUGGCGAACGGGUGAGUAAUGCAUCGGAACGUACCCAGAGGUGGGGGAUAACGCAGCGAAAGCUGUGCUAAUACCGCAUGUGAUCUGAGGAUGAAAGCGGGGGACCGAGCAGCAAUGUUUGGCCUCGCGCCUUUGGAGCGGCCGAUGUCGGAUUAGCUAGUUGGUGGGGUAAAGGCCUACCAAGGCGACGAUCCGUAGCUGGUCUGAGAGGACGACCAGCCACACUGGGACUGAGACACGGCCCAGACUCCUACGGGAGGCAGCAGUGGGGAAUUUUGGACAAUGGGCGCAAGCCUGAUCCAGCCAUGCCGCGUGCGGGAAGAAGGCCUUCGGGUUGUAAACCGCUUUUGGCAGGAACGAAACGGUGUCCGCUAAUACCGGGCGCUAAUGACGGUACCUGCAGAAUAAGCACCGGCUAACUACGUG
rnacentral:rRNA from 1 species